ACUGGUGAAAGUUGCUGACAAGAUAUAUGGUGUGACACACAAAAACAGAGUCAGCCGUGUCAAUGUAAUCACCAAAGAAGAUGCUCUGGAUUUUAUCGACCACGAUCAGUCCCACAACGAGUGAUAUGGGAAAACUUUUAUGAGAAGCAGCGUAGAAUAAUGAGGAAGGAGGAUUGUAUAUUGACAAAACUGUGCUAGGUAGAUGCUGUUGUAUUUUAUGUGAUGAAACUGUAGCCAUUACUUAUACAGAUUAUUCUUGUCAAAUUUGGGAGUAUUUUAUAAUUACUCUGUGGAUUUUUAUGUUAUCUUUUUUCGAAAAGUUCGAUUUUAA